GUAACGAGAGCAGGAGCAAUCUCGGGCUGGCGGCCGCGCUGCCUGCACCGCCAGCCUCCACUCUUGGGAAGUGCGCUGGCAACGCAGCCCUGACUUGGAAAAGUCUGCUGACCGCAACUAGACCCCCACAUAAAUAGUGUCAAUCUGCAUUGCGGAACGACUUUAGUUUCUAGGGGAGUUUUUGGUUUUGCUUUUCAAAGUCCCGGAUUUCGGGAUUUAGUUCAAACGGUGCUCAGAAAUGAGGCGCGGGAGGAGGAACACUGACAGGGAGGACAGCAGGGGAAAGGUGUGUCUCUGGACUUUCAUUUCUUGCCAGAGUAGCAGGGCCCUCUGGUUUAAAAAUCCAUUAUCCUUUUUCGCUUCUCCCAGAAUCCCUGUGUGUCACUCCUUCUCCAACCCCCACCCCCAUCUUUGGAGACGCUCCGGGAGGCGACAGGGACCUGGCGACUGCAUAGAACCAGCGCUCCUAGGGCAAGGCAGAGGUGGGACACAGCCAGGGUCUUCAGGUCAGUGAAGUGAUGCCUCAGUCUGAUAGUGUCUGAAGAAUUGCUGGGCUAUUGUGGCAACUGAGGGCAAAGAAGGGAAAACAGAAGCAAAGAAAACUGUUUCACAAACUCUUGGAAUUGCUACUGUUAAAAGGCUGCAUUUCACUUCUGAUUUCCUCAUCUGUUGCUACAAAGGAAAAAGAAAUCCAAUGAUGUGUCUGCAUUUGAUGAGAAGAAAACACUAACAACAGCAGUGUAGGUUCGAAAGUCAUUGCUCGGAGAGGGCAGGAGUGAAUUAAGGCCCCGGGGACCGCGGACGCCGGGCCAGGAGACCGCCUGAAAUAUGAGCCGAACCUGUUUUGUGAGAUGCACUUGGGUUUGGGGGUCAGGGUCGAAGGCUUCAAAGCCCUUGGUCUGCACGUGUGAAAAAUCUCUCCCUCCCUCCCGCCCCUCCUCUUCCUCUCUUCCUCUCUUUUUCCCUGUUCCCUUUUCUCCUCACCUCUCCCAGAAUUAAUUUCCUCUCCCCUUCCUCUAUUUUCCUUGUCUUUGUCUAUUUCAUGCUGACCCAUUUAGUCCAAAGUAUUUCUAGGAAAAAUACACAGAAGUAGGCUCUUGGACUGUGCCAGCCCAAUCACCUUUUGAAAUUCGAGAGAAUCGGGAUGUUGAAGAUAUUGAGAACUCGGUGUACACACAUUGAUAAUGCACUGGGAGGGUUAGUUCUGUUCCAGUAAUGGGCCAGUCCCGGACACUGUGCAAAAGUUUUAGCUUUAACACAAGUUAUCAUUCACAAUAUUUAUUUGGUAUCGUCCAAAG